GAGUUUGAUCUUGGCUCAGGAUGAACGCUGGCGGCGUGCUUAACACAUGCAAGUCGAACGAAGCACUUGAAUGGAAUUCUUCGGAAGGAAGCUCAAGUGACUGAGUGGCGGACGGGUGAGUAACGCGUGGGUAACCUGCCUUGUACUGGGGGACAACAGUUAGAAAUGACUGCUAAUACCGCAUAAGCGCACAGUAUCGCAUGAUACAGUGUGAAAAACUCCGGUGGUACAAGAUGGACCCCGCGUCUGAUUAGCUAGUUGGUAAGGUAACGGCUUACCAAGGCGACGAUCAGUAGCCGACCUGAGAGGGUGACCGGCCACAUUGGGACUGAGACACGGCCCAAACUCCUACGGGAGGCAGCAGUGGGGAAUAUUGCACAAUGGGCGAAAGCCUGAUGCAGCGACGCCGCGUGAGUGAAG
rnacentral:rRNA from 1 species